UACAGUAAAAUCCUAAGUCUAUUUAUUUAGGUGUAAAUAAUCGCUGAGUUCAAUGGCCUCGCUUCCUCUCUAGUCAGCAUGCUUCAGAUAAAAACUUUUACUCUGAGGGCCUGUUGAGAAAUUGGCAGACUUGCUUCUAUCCUUCCCUCAAAACAAGCAUUUAUCUGUAGUUUAAUCUUCAAAAAGGAAACCAUGAAAGACAACGAAAGAAAAGGGUGUACUUGCUCCAGAAUCAAGGCUUUUGGAUAGGACCUCGCAAGAUGAUUUUAUAAAAGAUCUUUAAUAUGGUAUGCUAGAGAGGAGGGCUGUUGUUGAUUGCUUCUCCUUCACUGUCAAGAUGUCCCAUUUUCCUGUAUAUUUCUCCAAAGAAGCAGCAAAGCCUACGCUGCCCGGCUCAAGGCCAAGUCUGCCGAUGGUUCCUGGCACUCAUGUUUCAUCAUUGUUGAUCCUCGCCAGCAAAGCAUGUGCAAGGUGAGGGCUUCAUUUUACUUGCUGCAGAUGGAGUGGUGCAAUUUUUUUACGUGUCCAUAAGGACAAUGUCUUAUUUUGGGAGGGGGGACCUUCCAUUCAGUGAAGGGGGAGAAACAUCCUUAAUUCUAAAAUUCCUUUCUUCUUUAACUGUGGCCACUGUCAGAGUGAAGCUCUGCAAAAACUCCUCCCUUGAAUAGGAAGAACUUGGAUAUUACUUGCAUAUCCCCACCUCCAAAGAAAGUGGGAGGGGUAUUGAUCCCUUCCUAGCAGCUUGCUCAGUAUAUUCAAAAAGUCUACCAUUGUUUCAUCAUCUAGCCCCCUACUCAUAUUAUACUGAUUCUGCAGCCGAUAAACCACAUGAUGCAAAUCA